rnacentral:rRNA from 1 species
AUUGAACGCUGGCGGCAUGCCUUACACAUGCAAGUCGAACGGCAGCGGGGGAGAAGCUUGCUUUUCCUGCCGGCGAGUGGCGAACGGGUGAGUAAUACAUCGGAACGUGCCCUGUAGUGGGGGAUAACUAGUCGAAAGAUUAGCUAAUACCGCAUACGACCUGAGGGUGAAAGUGGGGGACCGCAAGGCCUCAUGCUAUAGGAGCGGCCGAUGUCUGAUUAGCAAGUUGGUGGGGUAAAGGCCUACCAAGGCGACGAUCAGUAGCUGGUCUGAGAGGACAAUCAGCCACAGUGGGGCUGAGACACGGCCCAGACUCCUACGGGAGGCAGCAGUGGGGAAUUUUGGACAAUGGGCGAAAGCCUGACCCAGCAAGGCCGCGUGUGUGAAGAAGGCCUUCGGGUUGUAAAGCACUUUUGUCCGGAAAGAAAUGGCUCUGGUUAAUACCUGGGGUCGAUGACGGUACCGGAAGAAUAAGGACCGGCUAACUACGUGCCAGCCGCCGCCGUAA